GAUGAACGCUGGCGGCGUGCCUAAUACAUGCAAGUCGAGCGAACAGACGAGGAGCUUGCUCGUCUGACGUUGGCGGCGGACGGGUGAUGAACACGUGUAUAACCUACCUAUAAGACUGGGAUAACUACGGGAGACCGGAUCUAAUACCGGAUCAUAUAUUGAACCGCAUGGUUCAAUGGUGAAAGACGGUUUUGCUGUGACUUAUAGAUGGAUCCGAGCCGGAUUAGCUAGUUGGUAAGGUAACGGCUUACCAAGGCAACGAUGCGUAGCCGAUCUGAGAGGGUGAUCGGCCACACUGGAACUGAGACACGGUCCAGACUCCUACGGGAGGCAGCAGUAGGGAAUCUUCCGCAAUGGGCGAAAGCCUGAUAGAGCAACGCCGCGUGAGUGAUGAAGGUCUUCGGAUCGUAAAGCUCUGUUAGUAGGGAAGAAGAAAAGUGUGAUUAACCAUGCCCGUCUUGACGGUACCUAAACAGAAAGCCACGGCUAACUACGUG
rnacentral:rRNA from 1 species